rnacentral:rRNA from 2 species
CGUGUAGGCGGCUCUGCAAGUCAGAUGUGAAAUUCCCGGGCUUAACCCGGGCGCUGCAUCUGAAACUGCAGAACUUGAGUACUGGAGAGGAUAGUGGAAUUCCUAGUGUAGCGGUAAAAUGCGUAGAUAUUAGGAGGAACACCAGUGGCGAAGGCGGCUAUCUGGACAGUAACUGACGCUGAGGCGCGAAAGCGUGGGGAGCAAACAG